GAUGAACGCUGGCGGCGUGCUUAACACAUGCAAGUCGAACGGAGAUUACUUUUUAGCUUGCUAAGUUGUAAUCUUAGUGGCGGACGGGUGAGUAACGCGUGGGUAACCUGCCUUAUACCGGGGGACAACAGUUGGAAACGACUGCUAAUACCGCAUAAGCGCACAGUCUCGCAUGAGACAGUGUGAAAAACUCCGGUGGUAUAAGAUGGACCCGCGUCUGAUUAGCCAGUUGGCGGUGUAACGGACCACCAAAGCGACGAUCAGUAGCCGGCCUGAGAGGGUGAACGGCCACAUUGGGACUGAGACACGGCCCAAACUCCUACGGGAGGCAGCAGUGGGGAAUAUUGCACAAUGGAGGAAACUCUGAUGCAGCGACGCCGCGUGAGUGAAGAAGUAUUUCGGUAUGUAAAGCUCUAUCAGCAGGAAAGAAAAUGACGGUACCUGACUAAGAAGCCCCGGCUAACUACGUGCCAGCAGCCGCGGUAAUACGUAGGGGGCAAGCGUUAUCCGGAUUUACUGGGUGUAAAGGGAGCGUAGACGGCCAUGCAAGUCUGAAGUGAAAGCUCGGGGCUCAACCCCGGAACUGCUUUGGAAACUGUAAGGCUGGAGUGCAGGAGAGGUAAGCGGAAUUCCUAGUGUAGCGGUGAAAUGCGUAGAUAUUAGGAGGAACACCAGAGGCGAAGGCGGCUUACUGGACUGUAACUGACGUUGAGGCUCGAAGGCGUGGGGAGCAAACA
rnacentral:rRNA from 1 species